CUUUCGUGGUGACUGGAUGGCCUGUGUUUGACCCUUGUCCCUAUAAAUGUAAAAUACGCUUAUGCCAACUCUAUACGGUUUAAAAGUGUUUGGGGACCAGCCAAUAAUAGAAUGUAGCCAAAUAAGAUGGGGCUUUUGUAAGAUUGGACACAUUUUAGCCCAAUAAUUAGAAAAAAUGAAUUUUUUGAAUGGACUUAUGGAAAUAAGCAUAUAUUGAUAGGGGAUAUGACGGUUUUACCCCUUGUUAGAGGUUAUAGUGUUGAUAACAACACCAUCGUUGUCAACAAUUUUUUCUGCAACUCAAAUCCUCAAUCCCUUCUCACUGCCGCACUUGCUUCAUAAGCACCAUAUUUGUCAACACCAU